rnacentral:rRNA from 1 species
UACAGAGGGUGCAAGCGUUGCUCGGAUUUACUGGGCGUAAAGCGUACGCAGACGGUGCGGUAGGUCGGAUGUGAAAGCCCUGGGCUCAACCCAGGAACUGCAUCCGAAACCCCCGCGCUCGAGUAUGAGAGAGGGAAGCGGAAUUCCUGGUGUAGAGGUGAAAUUCGUAGAUAUCAGGAGGAACAUCAGCGGCGAAGGCGGCUUCUUGGCUCAUUACUGACGUUCAGGUACGAAAGCGUGGGUAGCAAACAGG